GACGAACGCUGGCGGCGUGCUUAACACAUGCAAGUCGAACGCUGAACCCGCUUCGGUGGGGGAUGAGUGGCGAACGGGGGAGUAACACGUGGGCAACCUGCCCCCGGCUCUGGGAUAACUCCAAGAAAUUGGGGCUAAUACCGGAUGUGACCGCUGGCCGCAUGGUCUGGUGGUGGAAAGGGUUUCCGGCUGGGGAUGGGCCCGCGGCCUAUCAGCUUGUUGGUGGGGUAGUGGCCUACCAAGGCGACGACGGGUAGCCGGCCUGAGAGGGUGACCGGCCCCCCUGGGACUGAGACACGGCCCAGACCUCUACGGGAGGCCACAGUGGGGAAUAUUGGGACAUGGGCGGAAGCCUGACGCAGCGACGCCGCGUGGGGGAUGACGGCCUUCGGGUUGUAAACCUCUUUCAGCAGGGACGAAGCGCAAGUGACGGUACCUGCAGAAGAAGCACCGGCCAACUACGUG
rnacentral:rRNA from 1 species